GGUCGUUAGCUCAGUUGGUAGAGCAGUUGACUUUUAAUCAAUUGGUCGCAGGUUCGAAUCCUGCACGACCCACCA
rnacentral:tRNA from 85 species